AAAAAAAAAAAAAAAAAGAAAAACAUUUUGGAUUUUCGAUUGUGGCUUCAUCUAAGCAAUUCACAUAUUUUUGAGAUCCAAGAAGGCCUGGGAUGAUUGUAAAAUUCGACCUGGUCAAGGGGGUACAGUACUUCAAUCAUUCUACUUCGUGAACUCAUACAGUCAACAUCAAAAAUAAAACAAAAAGUUUACUUCUGAAAAUCAAAAAAGAGAAAAACAAAAGUGAAAAUCUGUUGACUGUUCAAUUGAUCCUGCAAUCCGGAAAGCAAUUGGUUAUGAAGCUCCCGAUCUAAGCUAGCAUAUACGAGCUUAAGACAUAGCUACAGAGUCUUCUCAAUAUUCAGACGGGAACAUUGGAGAUUUCUGCUUCUGAUGUAACGUUGGCCGAUUCAGAAGUUGCUGGUCUAGGCAACAACAAACAAAUUAAGCCGAUUGUGUCUUGCUAUGAAGGCAACAAUUUUGUGUGCUUGAUACGAUUUUCUCUUCAGGCCGAGGAUAUCGCGCUUCCAUUAGUCGAUAAUACGGUGUCAGACUCAAAUAUUGGAGUUGUGUCGCUCGAAGGAAGUGAAUCUUCCGUCAUUGAGCUAUCUUCAGGAGCUAGUAGCGAAAGAAAAGGCCAAGGACAUGAAAAACCCAUUGAGACCAAACGUGAGGAGAGCCCCUCGUAUGGAUGUAUGGAGGAGGCAUACGGUAUGGGCGAUGCGAUAUUAUAUCCAGACCACGCUCAGUUAAAUCUGAAAUGAAAAUGGAACCGGAUGUUACAAAUGGUCAGCAGCCCCCCUACAUAAACAUACUGCCAGAGAAGAGGCCGUUUCUUGUGGUCUUUUCUUCCCCGGAAUGUGUUCUUUGGGACAUUUUUGGAUUUCACAAACGUUCGCUGCUUAGUCACUCCGGUGACUGAAUACAAUGGCCGGCUUUACAUCGCAGCGGCCAACGAAGACCCCAGGGAAUGGGUGGCGCACAACGUAUGUUCCAUGGGGCUCUAUGAGGGCGUUGGCUUUAUAAACUUCCUGCACCUGACAGCGGCCAGAGUUGGCCAAACGUCGAGACUUGUUUCCUGCGAAUUUUUACGCUCCUGGAACUGUUGAAACGGAGAAGUGAGCUGUGGUGAGCCGGGAAAAUGUACCCCCUUCAGUCACAGAUAUUUGGCCCAAUGGACGGGUUGGGAUCUGGAUGGAUGCUGAGAGUGUGGAUAUCAUCAAGGGGAGAUGCAACCGCCAUAAACUGUUUU